UACGGGGGGAGCAAGCGUUGUUCGGAUUUACUGGGCGUAAAGGGCGCGUAGGCGGUCAGCACAAGUCAGUUGUGAAAUCUCCGGGCUUAACUCGGAAAGGUCAACUGAUACUGUGCGACUAGAGUGCAGAAGGGGCAACUGGAAUUCUCGGUGUAGUGGUGAAAUGCGUAGAUAUCGAGAGGAACACCUGCGGCGAAGGCGGGUUGCUGGGCUGACACUGACGCUGAUGCGCGAAAGCCAGGGGAGCGAACGGG
rnacentral:rRNA from 1 species